rnacentral:misc_RNA from 1 species
UUUAGCUUUAAGAUCACUAAGACAACCACUAAAAUAGCGUGUAAAAUUCUUCGGCAGGGCACGGGGCGUCACCACCCCGACAAUUAACGGCGUUCCCUGCCAAAGCAACAGAAGGGUGCACAGAAGGAUAAGAGUACGGACACUCUGUAAUGAUCCCUCCGCUGGUUCACCAACGGAGA